rnacentral:rRNA from 1 species
GACGAACGCUGGCGGCGUGCUUAACACAUGCAAGUCGAACGGAAAGGCCCUGCUUUUGUGGGGUGCUCGAGUGGCGAACGGGUGAGUAACACGUGAGUAACCUGCCCUUGACUUUGGGAUAACUUCAGGAAACUGGGGCUAAUACCGGAUAGGAGCUCCUGCUGCAUGGUGGGGGUUGGAAAGUUUCGGCGGUUGGGGAUGGACUCGCGGCUUAUCAGCUUGUUGGUGGGGUAGUGGCUUACCAAGGAUUUGACGGGUAGCCGGCCUGAGAGGGUGACCGGCCACAGUGGGAGUGAGAUACGGCCCAGACUGCUACGGGAGGCAGCAGUGGGGAAUAGUGCACAAUGGGCGGAAGCCUGAUGCAGCAACGCCGCGUGCGGGAUGACGGCCUUCGGGUUGUAAACCGCUUUCGCCUGUGACGAAGCGUGAGUGACGGUAAUGGGUAAAGAAGCACCGGCUAACUACGUG